CACGCGCGCGCACACACCCCGCACACACACACACACAUCACAGCACACACCCCUCCGAACACCGGCGACACAAAGAGCGAGUGAGCGAGCCCGGCGCCCGGCUGGCCAGUCAACUUUUUAAUACUGAAGACCCUGCAUGUUGUAUCCAGAACUAGAGACAGAGAAAGAAAGGCAGCACAAGAGGGUGAUCAGAAAAAUAACAUUGCUAGCAUGGAAGAAGUGAAGGUGGGAAGAGAAGGAAGAAAGAGGAGAGCAAUAUUCCAUCUUAAUCAAGAAAAUUCUUCAGGUGCAUGAUCAAGUUUCAAAACUCCAAAUUUCCGAUUUGCCCUUGGCCUGCACAGAAGGAUCUUGCCUCAGUUGCCCAACAACCCGGAAAAGCCGUCACACUACCACAUAGCCUGUGCUCAGUUUAUAGCAGAAAGCGGGCACCCGGCUCUGGGCAGCCUUUCCAGCUCCCGGCCUGGGAGCAGCACUGCACUUUGGCACCACCAUCUUCCUGCCGCCCAGGGGAUGCUCAGACCACCCCGUCGCUCCUGGGAUCCUGCACCUCUCCACCACCUGAGCACCUUUAAUCCAGGUGCAUCCUCUACAGGAGAGAACUUAAAAGUUCAGAUUUGCACCGGACCACUUCUAAUACUUGGCGGUAGCCUCCUAAUUGGCUCCCUCUCUGUUUGCUGCUUGUGCAACUCUGCUUGCCCCCAGGAACUUCCUCACCUCCUACUUUGCAAAAGGUGGUUGCUUUUCUACUUGCUGACUUGCAGUUUUGUUCUCUCAGACCUAUUGAUUGACUUCUUGGGUGUUCAGAAUAAUUUGAUAGCUAACUAUCUCUGCUCUGUCGAGGGAACAGGUGAGCUUAGGGUUCUAGCUCCUACUCCUCCAGCAUCUUAACUCCUCCUCUAUCUGGAUGACUGUAGCCUUUGGCUGACUGGCCAACAUCCCUCCGGACUACCACCUCAGGUCCUGAGCCAGAACCACUGAGCUAAGAUACUCUCGAAUUCCUCACCUAUAGAAACUGUGAGAUGAUAAACAUUAGCUAUUCUAAGGUAUUAAGGUUUGGGGUAAUUUGAUAUGCAACCCUAGGCAAUUAUACAAUACACAUGGCUUCUCAGGGGACUUAGAGCAUCAAUCAUGCACAGUUAGAUGCCAUCUUUGUCUACCAGAAAACCCAAAUCUUAACCACUUUGAUGGAACAAUGAGCAGAUUUUAAGACAUAAGCUCAAACACAAAUUAAGAAAACAUUAUCAAAUGACAGUACAAAUCUUUCCCCUGGAAAAUCUUUCUUUUUCUUCUCCUCCCCAUCUUUGCCUGUCUAAACUCUGCUCAUCCUCUAUGGCUGGAAAGUUUCUAUUCCCAGCCCCAAUCCAGCAUACUGUGAGAAUGUAGUAACUUCCUCUUUCUUUGUCUUUUUCCAUUGUAAUUUUCAUUUUGUUUGAAUAUAUAUAAACACAAUGAUGUGGAUAUUAUUUUCCUUUCAGACAAUAAGAAAUAAAAGUUAGCAGCACAGGCUUUGCAGUUAGGUUUCUUGAGUUUGUGCUGAAGUUCCACACUUAAAAGUUGUGGCCUCUUCACUCUAGGGAGCAAAUUGAGGGUUGUUGGAGGGAAGGUGGGUGGGGGGAUGGGUGAACUGGAGGAUGAGCAUUAAGAAGGGCAAUUGAAGUAAUGAGCACUGGGUAUUGUAUGCAACUGAUGAAUCAUUGAAUUCUACCUCUGAAACUAGUAAUGCUAUAUAUUAAUUAAAUUGAAUUUAUUUAAAAACAUUUUUAAAAAUAAAAGUUGUACAAUUUCAUGCAGAUCACUUACCCUUUGUGGAUCUAUAAGAUGGGCUUUACAUAUGCCAAUGGUUUAGGGUUGCUAUGAGGAUUCAAGCAUGCAAUACAUGUAGUUUUUGGCAAAGAAAAUUCCCAAUAAACAUUUAUUAUUUGAAAACUAUUAUUACCGGACGGCUCCAAGUAAGCCUGUCACUGCGCAAUUAAACCUUGGCAUAAUUACUAAGCUUAAUGCUUAUUAGAUCUUGGAAAAAAGUUAGUGAGCUCUCCAAGCUUCAGUUUCUUUAUAUGUAAAUUAGAGAUAAAAUAAACUCUCACUGGGCCUUGGGAGGAUAAAACAUUAUAUAAUAAAUGUAAAACACCUAACACACAGCCUGACAAAUGGUAGGCGGGCAACAAAUGUUCAUUGCUUCCUUUCCUCUCAGCUUCUUAAAGUAGAUACUGUGCAGAGCGGCUGGGGGCUGGGUGCUAAAUCAUGCUAGAUGCAGAAAAGGAAAAUGUGUUUUAGGCUUUGUAUGUUGAACUGAGUUGGGCAUAAACUGAAAUAGCUUUCUAUGACUUAAAUGUUGAACAUGCCUGGUUCAGAUCUGCAAGUCACUUUUCCAAUCGUGUUGAAUAGCACAGGUAAUGUUAAGCCUUAUUUAUUUUGAUUUUGUACUUUCUACAUGGUUGAUUUUCAAUAUAGUUGCUAUAAUUAAUGACAUGAUGUGAAAUCUGAAGGUUUUGCUAUUUCUAAUUCAUGUUCAAUGUAUAAAAGGAUGACAUAUACUUGGAUAUAUCUUUGUGUGGCAAACUGCUGGGCUCUAUCACUUGCAAAGUGAUCUCAGAGGCGCAUACCAUGGGCCUAAUCCCAUUUGAGCCCCAUGUACAACAGCAAGAUGUAGAGAGAGGGGCAUCAGUCUAGGUAGUAGAGAACCAGAACUAGAACUUUCUGUUCUCUUAACUAUCUAGAUGUCUGAUUUAGAUGUCACCUCUUUCCAGAAAAGCAGGAUAUUGUGGGGGAAAGCAGAGUUGGAAAGACUCAUCUUGGAAUCAUGGCUUUACCUCUUCAUAGUUCUAUGAUCCUGCUGAGCUUUAAUUUCCUAUAAGCUGGAGGCAAUCCUAUCUAAAUCAGAAGCUUGUGAUUUUGACACAAGCUUGUGACUUUGACAUAAACACGCAUAGCUUCUGGUAUAUAUCAGGUAUUGUUUAACACGAUUUGCUUUGCUUUUCUUCUCUGAGCCUCAGUUUCAUCACCUGUAAAAUGAGCCAAUUGGAUUAAGUCCCUCCUAGUUCUAAUGUUCUAUUAUUCUAGAUGUUAUACUGUUAAAUGAGAUAUUAGAUCUAAGCACUUGCUCAUGGUAGGUAAUGAAGUGCUACCACUGGAUGAAAUAAAAAUAAAAACAUAUUGUGAUGGUGGAAGGGGAAAAACACAAAAAUUCCUAAAUGUAUGUGUCUAAGAGGAAGGCCUGCCCAAUAUAGAUUCAGAAGAUAUUUUAUUUGCAUUCUGUUGUGUCUACAGAUGGCCUGAUGACAGUGAUCAGAUCACAGGGUAUUAGUCAGAGACUCUGUCUAGUAAAUAAUGGCAGAACAGAGCCAGGAACAUCAACCCAGCUGGCAAAGUCACCCUUUCUGCAAAAAUAAAGCAUGGUUGACCUCUAUGUCUUAGCCCAAACUGUGUCUGAUUAUUCCCUACAUUUGUUAGAAUCAA